rnacentral:rRNA from 1 species
AGCGAACGCUGGCGGCAGGCCUAAUACAUGCAAGUCGAACGGAUCCUUCGGGAUUAGUGGCGGACGGGCGAGUAACACGUGGGAACGUGCCCUUUGGUUCGGAACAACUCAGGGAAACUUGAGCUAAUACCGGAUAAGCCCUUCGGGGGAAGAUUAUCGCCAUUGGAGCGGCCCGCGUCUGAUUAGCUAGUUGGUGGGGUAAAGGCCUACCAAGGCGACGAUCAGUAGCUGGUCUGAGAGGAUGAUCAGCCACACUGGGACUGAGACACGGCCCAGACUCCUACGGGAGGCAGCAGUGGGGAAUCUUGCGCAAUGGGCGAAAGCCUGACGCAGCGACGCCGCGUGAGGGAUGACGGCCU